rnacentral:rRNA from 1 species
CAUGUAGGCGGUCUGCUAAGUUCGGAGUGACAGUCACCAGCUUAACUGGUGAAGUGCUUUGAAAACUGGCUGACUUGAGAGCGAGAGAGGGACACGGAAUUCCGGGUGGAGCAGUGAAAUGCGUAGAGAUCCGGAGGAACACCAAAGGCGAAGGCAGUGUCCUGGCUCGUUUCUGACGCUGAGGUGCGAAAGCCAGGGGAGCGAACGGGAUUAGAUACCCCGGUAGUCCUGGCCGUAAACGAUGACCACCAGGCGUGGGAGGGAUCGACCCCUUCCGUGCCGUAGUCAACACAUUAAGUGGUCCGCCUGGGGAGUACGGUCGCAAGACUAAA